rnacentral:rRNA from 1 species
CUAGCAUAUCAAUGAAGCGKAGGMAAAGAWACCAACAGGGAUUGCCCUAGUAACGGCGAGUGAAGCGGCAACAGCUCAAAUUUGAAAUCUGGCUCUUUUAGGGUCCGAGUUGUAAUUUGCAGAGGGCGCUUUGGCGUUGGCAGCGGUCCAAGUUCCUUGGAACAGGACGUCACAGAGGGUGAGAAUCCCGUACGUGGUCGCUGGCCUUCGCCGUGUAAAGCCUCUUCGACGAGUCGAGUUGUUUGGGAAUGCAGCUCUAAAUGGGAGGUAAAUUUCUUCUAAAGCUAAAUACUGGCCAGAGACCGAUAGCGCACAAGUAGAGUGAUCGAAAGAUGAAAAGCACUUUGGAAAGAGAGUCAAAUAGCACGUGAAAUUGUUAAAAGGGAAGCGCUUGCAGCCAGACUUGCCCGUAGUUGCUCAUCCAGGCUCUUGCCUGGUGCACUCUUCUAUGGGCAGGCCAGCAUCAGUUUGGGCGGUUGGAUAAAGGUCUCUGUCAUGUACCUCCUUUCGGGGAGGCCUUAUAGGGGAGACGACAUGCAACCAGCCUGGACUGAGGUCCGCGCAUUCGCUAGGAUGCUGGCGUAAUGGCUGUAAGCGGCCCGUCUUGAAACACGGACCAAGGAGUCUAACAUCUAUGCGAGUGUUUGGGUGUCAAGCCCGAACGCGCAAUGAAAGUGAACGGAGGUGGGAACCCUUAAGGGUGCACCAUCGACCGAUCCUGAUGUCUUCGGAAGGAUUUGAGUAAGAGCAUAGCUGUUGGGACCCGAAAGAUGGUGAACUAUGCUUGAAUAGGGUGAAGCCAGAGGAAACUCUGGUGGAGGCUCGCAGCGGUUCUGACGUGCAAAUCGAUCGUCAAAUUUGGGCAUAGGGGCGAAAGACUAAUCGAGCAGCUUAYCUUAGUAGCUGGUUCCUGCCGAGUCUCCCUCUCCCGAGAUAUAAA